CAAUUCGCCACAUUGGGUUGUAUGUUUGCAUGUUCCCUACUGCUUGUUUAUGUUGUCAGUAUACAUUAUUCAGUUUGUUUAUACAGACGGUGUAUAUAGACGGCAAACAUGCGAACAGCAAAAUGUUGGUAUAAGAUAAAACAUUGCACGGACGUUAAAUGGUAGUCAGGUUUAGAAAUUGUGAAAUGAAUGUGACCAGUCUUAAAGGCCCCCAUAUCCACCAAUACAACCCAUGGUGGGUUGCUAGAUUGUGAGUUACAAUGGUUACCAAAAGCCUUUGCAGAUGUUGGUACCGAGUUGAAUUUGAGAUACCAAAGAACUAGCAACGUUUUAAUUCUACAAGCCUAGAUAUUAUUAAAGAAGAUCGAAGUACAUUUGGAUUACGUUCAUAGAAAACAACCAUUUUUAAAUUUCUUUGUUCGUGUUGGUUGCUCAAGGAAGACAUUCACAAUCUUCAAAUGGAAAUAUUUUGAUUUUAAAAAUAUCUGUUAAACUUAUAAAUGUAUGUGUCAUCCCGCGUAAAACUUUCACCUUGUUGUUAAUUAGCAAAACGUUAUAAAACGAUGUCAAGCCCUCAAAAAAAAACAAAAAUAAACGUUAACCCUACCCUAUUACG